UCAUACUUAAAUUGAUAUGGCUAACCCGAAUGCCAAUUGAAUAAAUUAUCAAUAUUGAUAAGUUCAUGUUUAUACCAUGACAUGUGCAAUUCUCAAUAACUCCAAGUUUAUUAUGAUAUGGAUUUUUAUAUCAAUUAACAUCCACUUUAUUCUGGCAUUCUUUUGUUUGUGUAGUACAAACUGGAGAAUAAAGCGGGUAGCUUUUCAUAUACAAAUUAUCCCGCUACAAGUUGUAGUAAUAGAAGAUAUCAAAUCUUUCCUUUAUUUAUUGUCUCAAUAUAAUCAACCGCUUUCACAUAUACUUUGAAAACUGAAUAAGUUUCUUUGAGACUUACUAUAACACAAUACCUUAUUGGUAAUCAAUUGCGUUUCUCCAAAAUAAUAUAUUUGGAUCUUGCACAGAGUUUUCAAUUAAUUUGGUACUAUCACAUAUUGCUAUCACAUUCUCUGCGGGGAUAUGUAAUUUUGUUAUCCUUUUCAAAUCUGUAAAUGCGUCUGGCAUUUGAUNNN
rnacentral:lncRNA from 1 species